rnacentral:rRNA from 1 species
GUGGGGAAUAUUGGACAAUGGGGGGAACCCUGAUCCAGCCAUGCCGCGUGUGUGAAGAAGGCCUUUUGGUUGUAAAGCACUUUAAGCGAGGAGGAGGCUACCGAGAUUAAUACUCUUGGAUAGUGGACGUUACUCGCAGAAUAAGCACCGGCUAACUCUGUGCCAGCAGCCGCGGUAAUACAGAGGGUGCAAGCGUUAAUCGGAUUUACUGGGCGUAAAGCGCGCGUAGGUGGUCAAUUAAGUCAAAUGUGAAAUCCCCGAGCUUAACUUGGGAAUUGCAUUCGAUACUGGUAGGCUAGAGUAUGGGAGAGGAUGGUAGAAUUCCAGGUGUAGCGGUGAAAUGCGUAGAGAUCUGGAGGAAUACCGAUGGCGAAGGCAGCCAUCUGGCCUAAUACUGACACUGAGGUGCGAAAGCAUGGGGAGCAAACAGGAUUAGAUACCCGUGUAGUCC